ACCGUAAUUCAUCAUCAAAAUAUUUUCAAGAUGACCAUAACAUAUAACAAGAUUGACCGUGAUUUACUCUUAUCUUUGUACUCUAGAAGUUCUUGGCGACUAGUUCUGUUUGUUCUUUCGAAAGCUGUAUCAAGGAUGUUGUUAUUGUAUCCGCAAAAAGAGCAAAAAGCAAAAAACAUCCCAAGGCCACCUAUGCGUUUGAAAAAAAGCACGAUAUUCCCGUAUCUGGUAGGGGUCAUCCACUGACACCAGGACACUUAUUAUGUGAGUUCGACUUCUACAUUCCAAGAUAAUAAUAAUUUUACAUCGAACUGAUGGAGGAUAUUAGUUAUCCGAAAUAUUUAAUAGUUUUUAUUGAUUUU
rnacentral:lncRNA from 1 species